GGUUUGUAGCUCAGUGGUAGAGUGGUUGCUUGGCAGGUAUGAGGCACUGGGUUCGAUCCUCAGCACCA
rnacentral:tRNA from 1 species